CCCUGCAGCUGGGCCAGUGCGGCAACCAGAUUGGGUUCGAAUUCUGGAAACAGCUGUGUGCUGAGCAUGGCAUCAGCCCGGAGGGCAUCGUAGAGGAGUUCGCCACCGAGGGCACUGACCGCAAGGACGUCUUUUUCUACCAGGCAGACGAUGAGCAUUACAUCCCCCGGGCUGUGCUGCUGGAUCUGGAGCCCCGGGUGAUCCAUUCCAUCCUCAACUCCUCCUAUGCCAAGCUCUACAACCCAGAGAACAUCUACCUGUCCGAGCAUGGAGGAGGGGCUGGCAACAACUGGGCCAGGGGAUUCUCCCAGGGCGAGAAAAUUCACGAGGACAUCUUUGACAUCAUAGACCGAGAAGCAGAUGGAAGUGACAGUCU
rnacentral:lncRNA from 1 species